rnacentral:rRNA from 1 species
UACAGAGGGUGCGAGCGUUAAUCGGAAUUACUGGGCGUAAAGCGCACGUAGGUGGCGUUGUAAGUCGGGCGUGAAAUCCCUGGGCUCAACCUGGGAACUGCACUCGAGACUGCAUCGCUGGAGUACGGAAGAGGAAGGCGGAAUUCCCGGUGUAGCGGUGAAAUGCGUAGAUAUCGGGAGGAACAUCAGUGGCGAAGGCGGCCUUCUGGUCCAGUACUGACACUCAAGUGCGAAAGCGUGGGGAGCAAACAGG